GCCACUUUUACAUCACUAGUUAUUAUGUUUGGCACUUUUCUGCACUUUAUGCACAUUAUUUCAUAUGCAUUGUCACUUUAAGUAUUGCAAGAGCCACUUAAAAUACAGUGACAACUCACAUUUUAGGAAUUUAAUGUAAUGCACUAUUAUUUGGUGCCUCUAAUAUGUUAACUAUGUAAGCAAUUCACUGUUGAUUCAUCCGUUCAUAUCUCUCAUCUAUUUAGUACCAUCACUCUUAUGCACUUUAUAUUCAAAGGGUUUGCAAUAUCCCUAUUGCUAGACUAUAUGA